rnacentral:lncRNA from 1 species
CCCAGCACCCCUACAUGCCAUAAGAGAUCCCAUCGAAUGGAUAAAUAUGAUAGUAAAAUCCUGAUUUCUCCUAUGACCGGACGGCUAUGAGGAUCUAUCCAAUUAGAUUACUAUACUACUCAGAUUCAAAAUUAAUUAUUUAAAUUUAAUCUAAAUAAUUAAAAUUAGAUUAUACGCAAAAAAUUUAUGUCAUAAGAAAUCUGGCUCUG